AGGAAAUAUAUUUUAAAGCCAAUCAUUUAGAUAAUUAUGCUCAUUUUAUAAUAUGUAGAUAAAUUAUUAAUUAUUGAAUAAAAAUUAUUUUGGUAUCCUUCAUCACAAAGUUACAUCUUUCUUGCUAGAACUCAUAUUGUGAUGAAGUCCUUAGAAUUAUUAAGUAAUCGAUAAAGGAGGAUUGAUCAUAUAGUUCUUAAACAUGUUCAC
rnacentral:lncRNA from 1 species